rnacentral:rRNA from 1 species
GAUGAACGCUAGCGACAGGCCUAACACAUGCAAGGUCGAGGGGCAGCACGGUGUAGCAAUACACGGGUGGCGACCGGCGCACGGGUGAGUAACGCGUAUGCAACCUGCCUACUACAAGGGGAUAACCCGUUGAAAGACGGACUAAUACCCUAUAACACAGGGAAUCCGCAUGGAUAUAUUUGUUAAAGAUUUAUCGGUAGUAGAUGGGCAUGCGUUCCAUUAGCUUGUUGGUGAGGUAACGGCUCACCAAGGCAACGAUGGAUAGGGGAACUGAGAGGUUGAUCCCCCACACUGGAACUGAGACACGGUCCAGACUCCUACGGGAGGCAGCAGUGAGGAAUAUUGGUCAAUGGACGAGAGUCUGAACCAGCCAAGUCGCGUGAAGGAAGACGGCCCUACGGGUUGUAAACUUCUUUUGUAAGGGAAUAAAUAGUCUUACGCGCUAAGACGUUGCAGGUACCUUACGAAUAAGGAUCGGCUAACUCCGUG